ACACUCCUACGGGAGGCAGCAGUGGGGAAUAUUGCACAAUGGGCGCAAGCCUGAUGCAGCCAUGCCGCGUGUAUGAAGAAGGCCUUCGGGUUGUAAAGUACUUUCAGCGGGGAGGAAGGCAAUACGGUUAAUAACCGUGUUGAUUGACGUUACCCGCAGAAGAAGCACCGGCUAACUCCGUGCCAGCAGCCGCGGUAAUACGGAGGGUGCAAGCGUUAAUCGGAAUUACUGGGCGUAAAGCGCACGCAGGCGGUCUGUCAAGUCGGAUGUGAAAUCCCCGGGCUCAACCGGGGAACUGCAUUCGAAACUGGCAGGCUUGAGUCUUGUAGAGGGGGGUAGAAUUCCAGGUGUAGCGGUGAAAUGCGUAGAGAUCUGGAGGAAUACCGGUGGCGAAGGCGGCCCCCUGGACAAAGACUGACGCUCAGGUGCGAAAGCGUGGGGAGCAAACAGGAUUAGAAACCCUAGUAGUCCCAUG
rnacentral:rRNA from 1 species